UACGUAGGGUGCAGGCGUUAAUCGGAAUUACUGGGCGUAAAGCGUGCGCAGGCGGUUUGUUAAGACAGAUGUGAAAUCCCCGGGCUUAACCUGGGAACUGCGUUUGUAACUGGCAAGCUAGAGUGUGGCAGAGGGGGGUGGAAUUCCAAGUGUAGCAGUGAAAUGCGUAGAUAUUUGGAGGAACACCAAUGGCGAAGGCGGCUCACUGGCCCGGUACUGACGCUGAGGUGCGAAAGCGUGGGGAGCAAACAGG
rnacentral:rRNA from 1 species